GCAAAAUAAUGGAAAUUCAAUAAUGAGUGGAUGCACUUUAGUGACUAAAAUAUUAAUAAAAGGUCUGCCACAUUACCAUAAUGGCUUGGUCAAAUCAAAGUUCAUAUUCCUAAUGUAUUCAUAUGUUGGAUGAAGUUCUAAUGUACUAGAACAGCAGUUUCAUUUCAUUGAAGAAUACUGCUUGUUUUCAAUGUAAACAUGAAUACUUAGGCCUACGCAUCGUUCCGCAACAUUACAAGGAGAUCAAGGAACUAUCCACAUCACGAUAAUAUUAGACGAAGGAUCUCCCCUGAAUAUUUGAAUGACUUUUCAGUUUCUUCCAAACAAUGGUUCUUCUCUUCUCUGGUCCAGCUCUCAGCAACUUUAUUUAACUUGUCCCUAACAUUCUGCAACAGUUGUUUUAGGUCACCAUCCCAUUUAUAGAACUCCAAUUCCUUUUUGUUAAGUAUCUUCUCAGCCACCUAACAAAAACAAAGAGGAAAAGAAAAUAUGUGAGAAUUGCCCCUCAUAAACUAAGAUAUCAUUGAUAUCACCCCAUCAGAGUAACCACCGAAGUAUGUCUAUAUAGCCGCAUGAAGGCAUGACCUUUAAGUAAAAAGAUGCUUUCCUAAUUUAUUUGAGAAACUCAUAUCUCUUGUUGGCAAGAACUCCUCUUCAAUGGAUUUAUAUAAAAAUGAAGGCACACUGAUACUAGUGUAGCAUUGUUUAUUUGAACAGAGGGGGAGCUCAACGGUUUACUUAUGUUGCUAUGCAAUAAGUUCACAAAUCAAAUAAACCUAGUGCUCAAGCAUUGCGCUGCAACUUGAGUCUUACACCUCCAUGAAGCGCUAAAAUAUUUUUUGGCCAUUUAAGUUUAAAUUCGUUUACCUUCUUCCCAAUCAUUCUACCACCAGCAGUGUGGGCAAAAUAUAUAUUGUAGAAGUGGCAAAUAAAAGCUUGAGGGUCCUUCUCUGAUAAUUCCUUUAGACACUGUGCAUAAUUGGUACCAGGAGAAGAAGGCUCUGGAAUGGCAUAGCCUUGUUUUUUGAACCACUCCAAAUCUUUUGCCAGCUUUUC
rnacentral:misc_RNA from 1 species